GCCAGGCAUGGUGGCGCGUGCCUGUAGUCCCAGCUACUCAUGAUGCUGAGGCUGGAGGAUCGCUUGAGUCCAGGAGUUCUGGGCUGUAGUGUGUUAUGCUGAUAGGGUGUCUGUGCUAAGUUUGGCAUCAAUAUGGUGACCUCCUGGGAGUGGGGGACCAUCAAGUAGCCUAAGGAGGGGUGAAUCAGCCUAGGUUGGAAACAGAGCAGGUCAAAACUCCCGUGCUGAUCAGUAGUGGGAUUGCACCUGUGAAUAGCCACUGCACUCCAGCCUGGGCAACAUAGCAAGACCCCCUUCUCUU
ensembl:misc_RNA Metazoa_SRP Metazoan signal recognition particle RNA